rnacentral:rRNA from 1 species
CCCGCUGAACUUAAGCAUAUCAAUAAGCGGAGGAAAAGAAACCAACAGGGAUUGCCUUAGUAACGGCGAGUGAAGCGGCAACAGCUCAAAUUUGAAAUCUGGCUUCUCUGAAGUCCGAGUUGUAAUUUGUAGAGGAUGUUUCGGUUCUGGCUCUGGUCUAAGUUCCUUGGAACAGGACGUCAUAGAGGGUGAGAACCCCGUAUGUUACUGGCAGCUGGUAACCAUGUGAAACUCCUUCGAUGAGUCGAGUUGUUUGGGAAUGCAGCUCAAAAUGGGUGGUAAAUUUCAUCUAAAGCUAAAUACUGGCCAGAGACCGAUAGCGCACAAGUAGAGUGAUCGAAAGAUGAAAAGUACUUUGGAAAGAGAGUUAAACAGUACGUGAAAUUGCUGAAAGGGAAACGCUUGAAGUCAGUCGCGUUGGCCGGGGAUCAGCCUUGCUUCUGCAUGGUGUACUUUCUGGUUGACGGGUCAGCAUCAAUUUUGACCACUGGAAAAGGUUCAGGGGAAUGUGGCAGCUUCGGCUGUGUUAUAGCCCUUGUUCAUAUACAGUGGUUGGGAUUGAGGAACUCAGCACGCCGCAAGGCCGGGUUUCGACCACGUUCGUGCUUAGGAUGCUGGCAUAAUGGCUUUAAGCGACCCGUCUUGAAACACGG